CCCAAACAAGCUCUGUUAAGGGGGUAGGAUCCGUGACUCCUUUCGGGGUCACACAGGCUCUCCUACACAACUCCUAUUCCGUCACCUCCACGUAGUACAGCGCGGUAACUUGUCCCACCACAUAUCCAAGCUUGGACACACGGGUCUGUCCCAACCCCUUGGACGGAUAGUGGAGCAAGGCUGAACAGGAGGAG
rnacentral:ribozyme from 1 species